GGCGGAUUGGGGGACACGGAGGCACUGGAGCCCUUCCCUCCGCCCACCCUCGUCCGAUCCCUGAGCCCCCCGUGCUUCCCAACAGCAGGUCCUCCCAUCUGGGUGACGGCGACAAUGGACGGGGGGGGGUGUCGGCCCCCCAAGGCCUCCCUGACCCCCCGGAUCCUCGGGAACGUCCCUCUGCUCGAGGCUCCCCCCACAGGUGAGACCACCCUAGCUCUCCCAAAAGAGGCCUCUGGUCACGGUCUCACACAUAAAUUGUGCCUGGACAACGAGCUUGCCCAGAGCUUCCACUGGCCCGUGGAAACUUGUAUUUGGACCACAUUGAUCAAGGGGCAGUCCUCUUUCUUUUGAAGCCUGCAAAGCACUGUCAGAUUGCCGUGCUCUCUGCAGCGUCCUUCUCAGCUGCAAGUCUCACCAUACACAUUACAGACUCACAAGGACCAAAGGUCUGGAGAGACAUCUUGCACAGAAAAAUGUGCUAGGACAAAAACAUGUUCUUCAUGUUCCCUGCUCAUCGCCCAGACUGUGGUGCUGUGUUUGAGGUCUUGGACAUAGAAAAAUUAAUGCAGCAAGUGCUUCUCUCCGGGCACAUUUGGCUGAGCGAGAGCUCCAAGGACAGUUUGGACUCUGAGAAACACAGAGUAUGAUUGGCCUCACAGCUGAGGAAAAGCCAUGGAGAGCACACUGUGGAUGUGUGCAGUACAGACACUGAAAAGCAGCAAAGCUGAAUGCCAUCCCUGGGCUUCGGCUCUGUCCAGAUCACAUAAGGUGAAGAAUGAAGCCGAGAGCUUCUUUCAUGUGUGGGUAGUGCACCACAUUGCAAAAGUCCAGCAGCAGCUCCUUCACAGUCAGAGUCAGCUGAGAAUACUCUUGCUGCUUCAACCUGUAUAUUGCCACACUGAACUCCCCCACACAGC